rnacentral:rRNA from 1 species
AGUGAACGCUGGCGGUAGGCCUAACACAUGCAAGUCGAACGGCAGCACAGUAAGAGCUUGCUCUUACGGGUGGCGAGUGGCGGACGGGUGAGGAAUACAUCGGAAUCUACUUUUUCGUGGGGGAUAACGUAGGGAAACUUACGCUAAUACCGCAUACGACCUACGGGUGAAAGCAGGGGAUCUUCGGACCUUGCGCGAUUGAAUGAGCCGAUGUCGGAUUAGCUAGUUGGCGGGGUAAAGGCCCACCAAGGCGACGAUCCGUAGCGGGUCUGAGAGGAUGAUCAGCCAGACUGUAACUGAGGAACGGUCCAGACACCUACGGUAGGCAGCAGUGGGGAAUAUUGGACAAUGGGGGCAAGCCUGAUCCAGCCAUACCGCGUGGGUGAUGAAGGACUUCGGGUUGUAAAGCCCUUUUGUUGGGAAAGAAAAGCAGCAGGUUAAUACCCCGCUGUUCUGACGGUACCCAAAGAAUAAGCACCGGCUAACUUCGUG